AGAAGAAGAAAAAGAAAUGGCUGAGCUGCACUCGCAGAAAAGUCCGUCAGAGUUACUGGAUGUUUGUCGCGUUUGCGGCGACUCAUUCUCGCCAACUAAAAGAAACAAACAUAAUGUUUUACAAGGCCAUGACUUAUCCGUCCGGCCGGACUAUACAUUGGCUUUGGAAGACAUCACAGGAGAACGCGUUACACAGGGAGAUGGACUACCCAAAGCGGUAUGUGGGACCUGUCGCACGCUUUUGCGACGGUACGGACGGAGCAAAGCUGAUGUGGAGGGAAUUGGCUCUUUUGUAAAAGAAAAAGCUACCACAGUGCCGAGGUUUAAAAGAUGUGUCCCCUCAACACCCAGUCAGCAGCUCAAAAGGGAACCAGGUUCUCCAGAAGAUAGUCGCGGCAGCAGUCCGGCGUUACGAAAACUUUUCCCGAGUGCUGAGGCUGAGGGUACAGAUCCAGAUGACAUGGGCGGUGUAGUAUCAUUAGAUGAUGGGGCGACCAGCAGCAUGAACGCAGAACAACAUGUAGCUACUGAAUCCAGGCCUGAGCCCCAACAGCCUCAACGAGUAACUAAGGUUAUUGUCACCCAUGGACAUGCCACACUUUCCAGGAUUCUUACUGGACCUAUUGAGAAGAUUGCCAUGUGUCUUCAAAGGAAUCAUACCAAAAGAUUGCCAAAGUUGGUUAUGGAUGUUCCUGGUUUAGACAACAUUGCCAUUAAACAGGUUUUUAAGCGUGUAGACAAAGAAUGUCAAAAACUGACUGGUAACAAGUGGAAAUCCAUAUUGAAAAAAACAACCCCAUCAGAUCUUAAAAAGUUUUCCUGGGAUAAAGUUCUGGAUGAAUGGAAGGAGAAAGCGCCAACAUUUCUCCAGUUUCUGAAAAGUGCAAGUACCGUUUCCACCGAAAAAGGGGAAGGAAAUGCUCGUGCAAAAAUAUGCAAAAUGGCAAUGGCCGGUGCUACUCUUCUUCGAGCACGUUCGAAAUUCAUGUGUGCGCCAAUGUACUUAAAUGCCCUUCUUAUGCAGCACGCAGGAGCUAAGAAGAGGUGCUAUGAUAGAUUUGGCAGGAUUGGCAUCUCUGUCAACAGGAGAAGCUGCCUUCGGAAAUUAAAAACUAUCAGCUCAUCCUGGGACAAGAAAUACUUGAAGUGGAAGAGGAAUGUAUGUGCAAGGUCCUCUGAGAUGGCCGAACAAUGCCUAGACCACCAACCUCUUCAACAUGACCAACAGCUUUUUCCAGCUUCGUUAGUUACGCACACCAAAGAGCGCAUUUACAAGAACACCAAGACCUAUCAUGGACAGUGACUUCAUCGAGUUAACAGACGAAGGUUAUCUCAUGAGGUUUCCCAGCCAAGAGUGUAACAACCUUUCCAACUUCAUGGCCGAUAAUCUGGAAGAGUUGGGCGAAAUCAUUCGUCAAGCAGAGGUCGAAGGAACUAAACAGUCUGCUCCGGCGCUGGUUCCCUCACCAGCCGGCGUGGGUAAAAGAUAUGAUCUGGUGCAAUGAUUGCCUUAGACCCCCGAGGCCCUGACACCGUUCGUCUUGGCACAGCCGCCACAGUCCGAGAGAGGAAUCUCUGAAGCCUCAACCGAGACUCAUCAGCUCCUGCAGCCAGUCCCCCAGACCGCUGCCGCUGCAACUCUGAGAGCGGUCGACGCGGCUCCGGAGCAUCCGAACGAGGUUACAUGUCCUCCUGCACAACCGCCACAGUCUUCUGUGGUCGGGAGGAAGAGGCGUCAUACAGCCGGCGGUAGCACCGGUAGCACCGGUAGCACUGGCGACAGCGACAGUUGACCAAGUGUUUCUCACAACACUUAUAAAACUGCAAAAAGACCCAGAAAAUGUUCGCACAGUUACAAAUGUGCGACCUGUCAGAGGGAGAAAGAAGAAUUACAUCUUCUCGUUGCUAAUGUGCUAAUAGACAUGAGCGAGAUCCUCUUUGUGCUAGGCCUUGGUGUUUGAGUGUAGGUUUGGAUUGUUGUUGUUUUGAUUUGUUUUUUGAUUUUGUUUUUUGUUUUCUGUAACCAUGGAUGAAAGCAACCGCCGUCCCUCAAAACUUGAUGUGAUGAUACAAGAAUUAAAGCACAGUGUAUUAAAUGAAGCUCAGGAACCCAUUCAGUCUUUAUGUGAGGAACAAUAAGAUAAAGAAAUCCCUGACCCACUCACAGAUCAAUGGCUAUCGCAGAUCUUAAUCAUUCUCAAAGCAUUUUAAACACCAUAAAUCAAUGUCAAGACUUGUUAAAUCAAAUACCCACCAUACCCUCGCCUUCAAACAGCGUACUUGCACGAUCCGAUUCUUUAAUCAGAGAACAAAACCCCAUCAGUUCUUUUAUCCCUGACCCGUUCUCAGAUAUUGAUUUUGCUAUCGCCAAACUUAAUCAUACGCAAGCUGUUUUAAACACGAUAAACCAAUGUCGAGAUUUGUUAAAUCAAAUACCUGCCAAAACCUUGACCUCAAAUGACACGCAUUUGCAAACCGAGACCCAACUUAAUAAUCAAAGUGCCCAAAACCAAACGGCCGUCUUUAACGCUGUAAAUCAUUUAGAAAAUUUCCAACGUCCAACACGGCUGUUGAAACUGACGGUAAUUUGGUGUUCACCGUCCAACUAGUCAAAAACCCCUUAAGCGGCGGUUGAAAAAGACUCUUGUCUGAUACCUUAGACAGCAAGAUUAUUAAAAAAAAGCUACGCUUUCUGCGGGUCGUAGUCAACGGCCCCGACAACCAACUUUGUUUUGCGAUUAAUUUGGCUCUCCUGCUUUACCCCGAUAUCAUCAAUAGCGAAGCGUAAGUAAGGCGGGUUUGAAGGAUCAGACCGCGGUAAGGUUCGGCGAUAUACCGAAAUUUGAAAAAGUCUCAAACUGCAAAAUUGCAGUGUUCUACAGAACCGACGACGGUCGAACACUCUCUAAAUUUGCGACCAAUUCACCGAGAAGACAAAAGAUGGUGUUUAUGUUUGGAAAAACACUACUACGGCAUAACGAGCCUGAAAUCCUUCCUAGGCUCGCCGUAUGUGUGCGAGUAUUGCUACACGGGGUACACCUCCGUCGUGUCUCACCAUUGCUAGGGUCAUUGCUCCGUUUGCUCGGACCCCUCCUGUACCAAGUGAGAGCUCCAACCCGUAGUUUGUGUCGACUGUAACAGAAUGUGCCGUUCUGUGUCGUGUUUAGCCAAACACAAAGAGCCUGUAAAGAGGCCCGUAGCUGAAAAAUACGUCAGUAAUUGCGAGCUGAUAAAAAGAUGCAAAAAAUGCAACAUGCUAUACUACAUCGCUAUGAAUGGUAACGGUAAACAACAUGCGUGUCCAAAAGUUAAAUUUAAAAUCUGCAGCGUAACCGUAGAAAAAGAUGAGAGCGAGGAGCACCUGUGUUACGUACAGCGUUUACCGGCCGAGACAAAACAUACCGAAAAAUUGAUUUUCUACGAUUUUGAGAUGUACGUAGACUCGUCAGGAGCGCACGUCCCUUUUCUGGUGUGUACAAAAAACGCUCGACGGCAAAAGGUGGAAUGCUCAGGGUGUAGAUUGUGCCAAACAGUUUAAUACGCAUUUCAGAUGACCCGCGUACAGAACAUCUGUCUUUAUCGCUCACAACACUAGGGGAUUUGACAGCUACAUCAUGCUGAAUGCCAUACUAUCUCUGAACAUGAAGCAGAUGCGCUCGAUAGUCUGUUUCUUGACGAGCCGUCUGUCGGCUCUGCCUAAAUUCCCGAUUAAAAAUAAGGGUUUUUUUCCCCCAUCGAUUUAGCUCCGAGAAUCAUUUAAAGUACGUAGGCCCCUACCCCGAGCCAGAGGCCUGUGGCAUCAAACAAAUGAGCAAAGAGGGCAAGAGAGAAUAUCAAGCAUGGUACGAGACGGUGCGUCACGGCACGUUCAAUUUUGAAAAAGAAGCCAUCCGCUACUGUCAAAACGACGUGGAUAUUCUCGGCCAAGCCUGCGGCAUUUUCAGAAAAGGUUACAUCGAUGAAAUGGACGUGGACCCUUUCGGUUGCGCCACCAUCGCUUCGGCCUGCCCUGCAUGAAAGUGUUUCGCACAAAUUUCCUACGUCCCGACACCCUGGCCAUUCAAUCUCCCAACAACUAUCGAAGACGUCGCAAAGCCUACUCGGUAGUUAGAGUGGGUGUCGCAUACCGAGGUCUUUAUUCAGCACGCGUUGAACGCGGGUGAAAAACAGAUUGGGCGCUACUUUGUAGACACUUGCGUCGAGGUCCGAGGUGUAAAAACGGCGUGGGAGUUGUUUUUAUCACAGUUGUCCGUCUUGCUUUCAGCCCCAUGACACUUGUCCUCUGACGGGUAGACCGUUUGACGAGUUACACGCCUCCACCGUGGCGUACAGACGUUAGAGUCUGUCCACGGUCUCAAAGUGAACGUGAUGAGAGAACACGAUUGGCUGGAGUUGAAAAAAUCCCAUCCGCUUCUGAGAGAUUUUCUCAAGCGUGCCAAAACCCCUCAACCUUUGUCACCCUGCGUCGCUUUGUAUGCCGGUAGAACGAGCGCCGUGAGGCUGAGGUACACAGCGGCACCGAACGAAACCGUACGUUACGUGGACGUGACAUCCUUGUAUCCCUACGUUAACUGCGUCUUUCCCUAACCUCUAGGACACCCCGAAAUAGUUUACCAAGCUUUCAAAGAGCCGCAAAACUACUUUGGGUUAAUCAGGGCCGUCGUCUACCCGCCUCGAGGUUUGUUUUUCCCCGUGUUGCCCUACAAAACAGCCACCGGUAAACUGGUGUUCACCCUCUGUCGAACGUGCGACAAGCUUAAUUUUCAGGCCGGCUCAUGUACGGACAACUAUGAGGCUAGGGCGUUGAUGGGGGUUUGGGUCACUCCCGAAUUUAACAAAGCCUUGGAGUCAGGGUACCACAGGUGGCUAAGCUCUGUCUAAAUAGCUUAUGGGGAAAGUUUGCCCAGAGAAGUAACCUGAACCAGACCUUGCUCGUCAGGGAACCGGAGGAGUUUUUCAGUUACAUGUUUUCAGAAAAACACAAAGUCAAAUACUUUUUCUUCCUAAACGAGACCACGGCUCUGAUUCAGUGGUGUCACGGCGAUCUGUAUAUCGCACCCCCCAACAAGACAGACAACGUGUUUAUUGCGGCAUUCACCACAGCCUACGGCCGUCUAAAGUUGUACGACUAUUUGCAACAAAUGCAAAAUCGGGUACUUUACCUCGACACCGACUCUCUAAUUUAUGUCACAAAAGAGGGAGAGACCAGGCUCAAACUGGGCAAUUAUUUGGGAGACUUGACAGAUGAGUUGGGUGGUGACAUGAUACGGGAUUUUGCAGCCACGGGUCCUGAAAGUUACGCGUACUUGACCAAAAACAAGCAAGCCAUAUUUUGGGUGAAGGGCAUUACUCAGAUGCACAAAUGUCAAAAUCAAUUUUGACAGCGUCAAAGAGCUGGUAGAGGGCUACCUGCAAAACCACCGUACAAGGGAGAGGGAGGAGGAGGGGUUUAUUGAGACUCUUCAACACGGCAUAAAGAGGGAUAAAAACGGGUUUCUUCUUAAAAACUCAUUUUUAAAAAGGUUUCAUGUGGUAUUUCACAGGAGACGGCUGCUUUCCACAGGUGAAAUGUUGCCGUUUGGCUAUUGAAAUGUUUUCAGCUGACCAGCGGUUGUGGAAAAACUUUUUUUGUAAAAAGUGUAUUGGAAAACUGUCAAUGUUUUGUCUCAGGUGCCUGAAAAUAUUGUAUGGAUAUAUACUUUGUUUCAACCCAUGUAUGCAGAGCUGCAAAAAAUGAAUAAAAAGAUUAAAUUUGUUGAA